GGCCGAAGUACAGACAUUUUUCCUGUGAGAAUUACCAGGAACAGUUCAAUAUGGGGGAUAUUCUGGCUCAUGAAUCUGAAAUACUCGAACUAGUGAAAGAGUAUUUAGAUUUUGCUGAAUUUGAAGAUACCUUGAAAACAUUUUCCAAAGAAUGCAAAAUAAAAGGAAAACCAUUAUGUAAAACAGCAGGUGGAUCUUUACAGGACUCUAAAUCAUUGAUAAUUCAGAAGGCUCUUGUCUCUGCAUUUGACAAUGGAGACCAGAAGGUGUUCUUCAAUUUAUGGGAAGAACACAUUCCCAGUUUCAUCCAAAAUGGUGACGCCCUUGCCCAGAAGUUGGAAUUCUAUCUUCACAUCCAUUUUGCCAUCUAUCCUCUGAAACAUUCCGUAGGGAGACCGGACAGAGAGGAGCUGGAGGAAAGGAUUUCUUACUUCAAAACCUACCUGGAGACCAAAGGAGCAGCGCUGAGCCAGACCACCGAGUUUCUUCCUUUCUAUGCCCUUCCUUUUCUUCCCAACCCUAUGGUACACCCUUCGUUUAAAGAACUCUUUCAGCAUUCCUGGACUCCAGAGUUAAAGUUGAAGUUGGAAAAGUUUCUAGCUUUAAUAUUUAAAGAUAGCAACACGCUGAAGCUUUUAACAGUGUAUAAGGAGAAUGGACAAAGUAACAAAGAGAUGUUGCAGCAGCUCCACCAGCAGCUGGUCAGAGCUGAACUUAGGUCAGUGACCUACCUGAGACGUACAGUAAGAUCCAAGCAGACUACCACAAUCUCAUUGGAGUCACAGCAGAGCUGCCGGAUUCUCUCAGGCCACAGUCAGUGGCAAGAUGAUCACUCCUGAGUACCUCCAGAGUGUCCGUGUCUGCCUCUUCAGCAACCAGAUGUGGCAGAGCCUGGCUCAUAGCGUGGACUUCACAAGGCCUGGGACGGCUUCCAGCAUGUUACAAGCUUCCGUGGCACCCGUGAGACUGAAAGAUGUCCCAUUACUGCCCUCCCUGGAUUAUGAGAAACUGAAGAAGGAUUUGAUUUGGGGGAGUGAUGGUUUAAAAGCCUUCUUGUUGCAGGCUCUGCGCUGGCGCUUGAGCACCUCCCGUCCUGGAGAGCAGAGGGAGGCGGUUCUGCAGGCCUACAUCAGCAACGACCUCUUGGACUGUCAUACCCACAACCAGAGGAAUGUGCUUCACUUGCUGCACGCAAAGAGUGAGGUGGUGCGGCAGUACAUGGCCAGGCUCAUCAACGCUUUUGCGUCACUAGCUGAAGGUCACCUCUACCUUGCUCAGAACAAAAUGGUGCUGUGGAUGCUGGAGGGUGCUUCAUCAAAGAAGGCAACACUGAAAUGA